rnacentral:ncRNA from 1 species
CUACAUUCAUUGACGAGAAUGAGUAAGCGUAAUGAUGGUUCUCCAGAGAGUUGGCAUUCUUGCUGUAAGCCAAUGUUCCACUUAUGUUGAAGAUCCUCUCCGAGAAGAAAAGCUGAUCCUGUAAGUAAGCUUUUCCGGAAUCCUCACCGUUAUCAUAGAGGCGCGUAUGAAAUGUACGUUGAUGAGUGCCGGAGAACAUGGUUUACAUCGAUAACUCUGGAACCAGGGUGGUAACGCGGGUUUAAGCUCGUCCCUAAU